UUUGAUCCUGGCUCAGGACGAACGCUGGCGGCGUGCCUAAUACAUGCAAGUCGAACGCUUCUUUUCCCACCGGAGCUUGCUCCACCGGGAAGAGAGGAGUGGCGAACGGGUGAGUAACACGUGGGUAACCUGCCCAUCAGAAGGGGAUAACACUUGGAAACAGGUGCUAAUACCGUAUAACAAUCGAAACCGCAUGGUUUCGUUUUGAAAGGCGCUUUACGGUGCCGCUGAUGGAUGGACCCGCGGUGCAUUAGCUAGUUGGUGAGGUAACGGCUCACCAAGGCCACGAUGCAUAGCCGACCUGAGAGGGUGAUCGGCCACAUUGGGACUGAGACACGGCCCAAACUCCUACGGGAGGCAGCAGUAGGGAAUCUUCGGCAAUGGACGAAAGUCUGACCGAGCAACGCCGCGUGAGUGAAGAAGGUUUUCGGAUCGUAAAACUCUGUUGUUAGAGAAGAACAAGGGUGAGAGUAACUGUUCACCCCUUGACGGUAUCUAACCAGAAAGCCACGGCUAACUACGUGCCAGCAGCCGCGGUAAUACGUAGGUGGCAAGCGUUGUCCGGAUUUAUUGGGCGUAAAGCGAGCGCAGGCGGUUUCUUAAGUCUGAUGUGAAAGCCCCCGGCUCAACCGGGGAGGGUCAUUGGAAACUGGGAGACUUGAGUGCAGAAGAGGAGAGUGGAAUUCCAUGUGUAGCGGUGAAAUGCGUAGAUAUAUGGAGGAACACCAGUGGCGAAGGCGGCUCUCUGGUCUGUAACUGACGCUGAGGCUCGAAAGCGUGGGGAGCAAACAGGAUUAGAUACCCUGGUAGUCCACGCCGUAAACGAUGAGUGCUAAGUGUUGGAGGGUUUCCGCCCUUCAGUGCUGCAGCUAACGCAUUAAGCACUCCGCCUGGGGAGUACGACCGCAAGGUUGAAACUCAAAGGAAUUGACGGGGGCCCGCACAAGCGGUGGAGCAUGUGGUUUAAUUCGAAGCAACGCGAAGAACCUUACCAGGUCUUGACAUCCUUUGACCACUCUAGAGAUAGAGCUUCCCCUUCGGGGGCAAAGUGACAGGUGGUGCAUGGUUGUCGUCAGCUCGUGUCGUGAGAUGUUGGGUUAAGUCCCGCAACGAGCGCAACCCUUAUUGUUAGUUGCCAUCAUUUAGUUGGGCACUCUAGCAAGACUGCCGGUGACAAACCGGAGGAAGGUGGGGAUGACGUCAAAUCAUCAUGCCCCUUAUGACCUGGGCUACACACGUGCUACAAUGGGAAGUACAACGAGUCGCGAAGUCGCGAGGCUAAGCUAAUCUCUUAAAGCUUCUCUCAGUUCGGAUUGUAGGCUGCAACUCGCCUACAUGAAGCCGGAAUCGCUAGUAAUCGCGGAUCAGCACGCCGCGGUGAAUACGUUCCCGGGCCUUGUACACACCGCCCGUCACACCACGAGAGUUUGUAACACCCGAAGUCGGUGAGGUAACCUUUUUGGAGCCAGCCGCCUAAGGUGGGAUAGAUGAUUGGGGUGAAGUCGUAACAAGGUAGCCGUAUCGGAAGGUGCGGCUGGAUCACCUU
rnacentral:rRNA from 1 species